AAAUAUAAAAUUUCUAAUUAUUUAAUAACACCGAGUUACAAAAUAGGUUGAAGGAGGGUGAAGCGCAGGAUACAGAUAACAAUUCUAAAAUUCUUGUGUCAUUCUGUAACAGUUAAUACUUGAUACUAUCAAUUAGUUAUAAAUUAUAUACCUUAAAUUACUAGUGAUUGCAUUUAAGGUAUAUAAUUUAUAAUUCAUCACUAAUAUAGUGAUGGGUGGAAAUAGUUCCAAGGAAAUAAACAUUAGAAUCCAAUCGUCCAAUUAUCAAGCAUUUGAAUCGAAAAACAAGGAAAACUGCUCUCUUUAACUUCUAUUAGGCCCUUAAUUGUUAUGAAUCUUUAAUCUUGUGUAAGUGUUUCCAUUCAGCGUUCAUAAUUUCAUAUUUAUAAUAAUUGCUUUUUCGUAGUAUCCGAUAUUAAUAAACUCUCAAGAAGAUAAUAUGUAAAUAAGAUAGAAGAAUUAAGGAGAAAAAUACAAGCGAAAAUCGAUUGAUUUGAAAAACAUAAUCUUUAAAUGAGUCGAAGUAAUUGGUUAUUGAUAAUUCUAGUACGUUUGAAAGAAGUUCUCAAAUUCAAAUAACCUAUGCUGAUAUUGCCCACACUUAUGAGAGUCUUUUUUCAAAUUAUAUGGACAAUCGUUUUAUCAAAGUUGGUAUAAAAAAUGCAUUAUUCAAAAAUUUUAUCAGGUGCAUUUUUGUAAGAUUUUGUGAAUUUCUUGUCAAAACAUGUUCCAAUCUCCAAAAAAAUUACACUAACUACUAAAUUAUACUUCGACAAUCAAGAAACACAAAAGUAAUUGCUUUCAGAAAUAAGUAGUAGUUUAGGAUCGUGUCAGGAGGAAUCACCUUAAACAUUUUUGCCUAAAUAUGGUAAAUAUUAGUUUUGAUUUUUUACUGGUGUAUUCCAUGUAUUCUUCAUUACAUUUUGAUGAAGAAAUGGACUGCAUAUGAAUGUUAAUGAUUCUAUUCAACAGAGCAUAGCUGUAGCAUUCCGUCAUUACUUCCCAAUGCUUUAAAACCUACGUAUUAUAUAUAAUUAAGAUUUGAAAAAUUGUUAUUGUCUAGCUUGUUUACCUUUUUGUUUUUAAUUUCUCAAAGCUGGAAUACAACGGUAAAAAUUCAAACCAAAUAUAUAACUAAGAAGAAAUAAUGUCCCCUCUAUUAUAUUCCAAACCAAAACAGCACAAGGGGAAAAUGCUUCAACGCGAAUACGUAAAAGGAAACACAUAAAAGGCAAACAAGGCGAAUCCUCCUAGAACCGUUUAGGGUUCUAGGAGAAUUUGCCUCAGACACUUUCACCUUGCACUCUUUUGCCUCGAAUGCACUCGCCGGCUAUCUUCUUUGCCGUCAUACGUGCUUUCCUCCAACAUGUUUGCCAUGCUACAUAAUUGCCGUUCAGUACUUUUGCCGACAAAAGUUAUAAUAGAUCCUAUACAGUUAAUAUUGACAUGUUAUCGGUUUUUUUCGGAGAUAAAUAAAUACUUCUUAUUUCUA
rnacentral:lncRNA from 1 species